UACAGAGGUCUCAAGCGUUGUUCGGAUUCAUUGGGCGUAAAGGGUGCGUAGGCGGCGCGGUAAGUCGGGUGUGAAAUCUCGGAGCUCAACUCCGAAACUGCAUUCGAUACUGCCGUGCUUGAGGACUGGAGAGGAGACUGGAAUUUACGGUGUAGCGGUGAAAUGCGUAGAUAUCGUAAGGAGGACCAGUGGCGAAGGCGGGUCUCUGGACAGUUCCUGA
rnacentral:rRNA from 1 species